rnacentral:lncRNA from 1 species
UUUUACAUAAAACUUGGAGUAAAAUGAGAACUUUACUAUUUUAAUCAAAAAUGCAGACAAAGAAAUUAUUUAACAAAUGAUGUAAAAAUAGUAGUUUAUUAAAAUUCGCAAAAUUUACGACAAUGUUGAUGAAUCAGUUUGACAAGAAAGGAAGUAAUGAAACUGGGUAAAAUGGGGAAAAGGGAAUAAGAAAAGUCAAAAAAUAAGGAAGGAAAGAGG